UACAACAUAGCGUUAAUGCAUCAAAUCCCAUUAUAACUUCAUAGUUAAGUGUGCUCGAGAUAGAGUAGUAAUGGGACAAGUGAUCUCUUGGGAAGUGCUAGUGUUUUAC
rnacentral:rRNA from 1 species